CGAGUGAGAACACACAGAGCAAUGACAGCUGCAGCAGUGGGCCCAGAACCAGGUGUCCGCCUGGGCUUGCCAUGAGGAAUUCGGAAAGGAAUUCCCAGGUGUGACCUGGUUCACAGGAGCCCAUGGGAGCUUCGUGAAAGUGGAAAGAGGAUUUGAACUUGGUGGAGAGAAGAGAGGUGGAGGAAAAUGCAGAAAGGACCUCAGAGGCGCCGCUGCAGCCCCUCCUGUGGCCUGGAAUCCGAUCCCGGGCUGCAACCCAGGAGGCCUGCGGAGAUGGAAGACGAUGGCUGCAGGGAAGACCAGAGCCUGGCAUAAGAAUCAGCUGCUUCUGAUGGCUUCGCCCUUGAGCCCCAUGAUGAGGGAAGAGUUAAAAAGGUCUCUUGAGCACAGUAAGAGAAGCUAGUGAGGAAAUGGAAGUGGCGUGCAGAAUCCCAGCUGCAGAGGGGUCAGGAACCGUGGCUCCUGCAAGCUCUCCAGCUUCUGCGGUCGAGGAAGACACACCAGAUGAGGAAAGAAGGCACGCUUUGUGAAAAGGGCCAUUUCCAACCCAAUGUGUGUCCACAUGGACAAAGCCCAUGACCUAAUAAGCAGAGCCCUCCAUAUCCCUAAAUCUGGAAUGUCCCCAAUACUAAACAGGCCUGGUUCUUCCUCGCACUCUGAAUUCAUGGUCAUUAGUAAGGCGUUCAUUCCUGCAGGCCCAGUAGAUGCUGACUCCAGUUUGGGCUGCAACGGGAGUAGCUAUUUUGUAUCUGGAAGCAGCAGUCCCACACCCCUGUCUGCACUCACCGCCCAGGGUCCCCCGUCACUCACAGCGCAUUGGCACAAUGGCCAGAAUCCCCCGUGACCGUCACCUCUCCCCCGCUUCAGGCUCUCCUGCUGUAGCCUCUUCUGUGGAAUUCUCCUUAUGACCCAUUAAAAUAAAAAAGCAACCCCAGGAAUCAUUUCUGACGUUCAGAUUCCAGAUGGAGACAGGCCAGCUUUUGCACAUGCAGUACUGCUGUGCAGAGGAAAUAACUUGGCUCGCAGGGUCAAUCUCAGCCCGUGCCUCAUGCCUGCGCUCUCCAAAUCCCACGGGAAUCCCAGGCUCUUACCUAGGGGCAGCUUUGUGGUGCUGCUCCGCCUGGAAGCAGCCUCUGGCACACAAUCUGGUUUCGGGUUCCACUACUCCUAGAUGACCCAGACCCAGACUCAUUCAUUGACCCUCUCCAGGAG
rnacentral:lncRNA from 10 species